UACGUAGGGUCCGAGCGUUGUCCGGAAUUAUUGGGCGUAAAGGGCUCGUAGGCGGUCUGUCGCGUCGGGAGUGAAAACCAGGUGCUUAACACCUGGCCUGCUUUCGAUACGGGCAGACUAGAGGUACUCAGGGGAGAAUGGAAUUCCUGGUGUAGCGGUGAAAUGCGCAGAUAUCAGGAGGAACACCGGUGGCGAAGGCGGUUCUCUGGGCAUGACCUGACGCUGAGGAGCGAAAGUGUGGGGAGCGAACAGG
rnacentral:rRNA from 1 species